rnacentral:lncRNA from 1 species
AUUUGAAUUAACCACUGUCAAAGACUGUAGUGACACAGAUCAAAUGUCAAACAAUGUAGCCCAAGCCCAGCCCCCUUCUUUCAAAUCUAAAUUUAGCAAAUAUCUUUCAAUAUUACACUUUUCUCCUUUGAAACUUGAAGGCUUUGGGCAUUUAAGAAUCAGUGUUUCAGCUGCAAUGCUUCUGAGAGGAAGGGAGAUUUUCAAAGAGCCUUUGUCAGCCCAGGAGUGAGUGAGUUAAUCCAUCCACCUGCCCCAACUGAGAGCAGAAGACACUGUUUAUAGGACUGAAGACAGAGGUGCUGGGUGCAAGGACUGAGACUAAGAAUGGAAAUGCGAGAACCAGGAUUCAGGGGCGGAAUAAUGAGGAUGAUGUGGGCGGCCACUUCCUAAAGCAGAGACACCUGCGAGCGGCCCUGGCCACUAGGGCUGAAACCCGACCCUCCACGCAGGCAGAAGCGCCUGGCUCAUGGAGAGCCUAGUCCUCUGGCCAGGGCAUGUGUCACGAUGGAGGAAAAGAGACUCAAAGAGACCUUAGGCUGUUCUCAGAUGUCCAUGGCUGGCGAGUGGCAACGUUAGGACUAGAAACCCAGUCUACUGGCUCUCCUCCAACCUCUGCUUUUUCUGCAAUACCAAAUAUCCACAGGUUUCUGUGCCCAGAGUUCUCCUAAGGAAUGGGCCAUGGCUGAGGACUAAAGACACAGUGGAUUAGUGCUGAGGCAGGAGGCUUUUUAAAAACUCUGUGUAAAAGACUUAUUCUGAGCCCUCUGUUGCAAGCAUAUUAAAAUCGUCUCAGUGUUCAGAAUGAGGAUGAAGUGCUGG